UUUUUGUUCUUUUCUUUCACAUCAUAUUUACAAAACAGAUGUUUCUUUUCUAUAUUUUUAUUUUCAAUGCUUGCUCGGUUUUUCUUUUAUUUUUUUCAAGAGUUGUGGUACUUACCGAUUCUCCCCAACUUAUUUCUUACUCACCCUAAGUGAAUGCUCUUAACUUUUUACGGCAAAAGAACAAUAAUCAAGAUUUUCCGGGUUGUAAAAAAAAGAUUUUUGAAAUCUCGCUUUAUUUCAAGCUGAGAUUCAACUGUUUAAGCUCAAAGGGGUUAACGAAUACUCUCUCUGCUCACAGGUAAGUUGUUUUUGGAUGUAGUUGUGCUCGAAAG
rnacentral:lncRNA from 1 species